rnacentral:rRNA from 1 species
GACGAACGCUGGCGGCGUGCUUAACACAUGCGAGUCGAACGGAAAGGCCCCUUUGGGGGUACUCGAGUGGCGAACGGGUGAGUAACACGUGAGUAACCUGCCCUUGACUUCGGGAUAACUUCAGGAAACUGGGGCUAAUACCGGAUAGGAAUCCUUGCUGCAUGGUGGGGGUUGGAAAGCUUCGGCGGUUUUGGAUGGACUCACGGCUUAUCAGCUUGUUGGUGGGGUAGUGGCUUACCAAGGCUUUGACGGGUAGCCGGCCUGAGAGGGCGACCGGCCACAUUGGGACUGAGAUACGGCCCAGACUCCUACGGGAGGCAGCAGUGGGGAAUAUUGCACAAUGGGCGGAAGCCUGAUGCAGCAACGCCGCGUGCGGGAUGACGGCCUUCGGGUUGUAAACCGCUUUCAGCAGGGGCGAAGCUUGUGGUGACGGUACCUGCAGAAGAAGCACCGGCUAACUACGUG